rnacentral:rRNA from 1 species
AUUGAACGCUGGCGGCAGGCCUAACACAUGCAAGUCGAACGGUAACAGGAAGAAGCUUGCUUCUUUGCUGACGAGUGGCGGACGGGUGAGUAAUGUCUGGGAAACUGCCUGAUGGAGGGGGAUAACUACUGGAAACGGUAGCUAAUACCGCAUAACGUCGCAAAACCAAAGAGGGGGACCUUCGGGCCUCUUGCCAUCGCAUGUGCCCAGAUGGGAUUAGCUAGUAGGUGGGGUAACGGCUCACCUAGGCGACGAUCCCUAGCUGGUCUGAGAGGAUGACCAGCCACACUGGAACUGAGACACGGUCCAGACUCCUACGGGAGGCAGCAGUGGGGAAUAUUGCACAAUGGGCGCAAGCCUGAUGCAGCCAUGCCGCGUGUAUGAAGAAGGCCUUCGGGUUGUAAAGUACUUUCAGCGGGGAGGAAGGGAGUAAAGUUAAUACCUUUGCUCAUUGACGUUACCCGCAGAAGAAGCACCGGCUAACUCCGUG